GACGAACGCUGGCGGCGUGCUUAACACAUGCAAGUCGAACGGAGUGGCGAACGGGUGAGUAACACGUGGGUGAUCUGCCUUGCACUUCGGGAUAAGCUUGGGAAACUGGGUCUAAUACCGGAUAGUGCAAGAUGAGCUCGCGGCCUAUCAGCUCGUUGGUGGGGUAAUGGCCUACCAAGGCGUCGACGGGUAGCCGGCCUGAGAGGGUGUACGGCCAAAGUGGGACUGAGGUACUGGCCAGAAUGCGACGGGAGGCAGCAGUGGGGAAUAGUGCACAAUGGGCGGAAGGCUGAUGGAGGGACGCCGGGUGGGGGAUGAAGGCCUUCGGGUUGUAAACUCCUUUCGACAGGGACGCGGUACCUGUAUAAGAAGCACCGGCUAACUACGUGCCAGCAGCCGCGGUAAUUC
rnacentral:rRNA from 1 species